rnacentral:piRNA from 1 species
UGCCAAAAGUCUUAGAUUUAGAUUCACUA